UACGGAGGGUGCAAGCGUUAUCCGGAUUCACUGGGUUUAAAGGGUGCGUAGGUGGGCAAGUAAGUCAGUGGUGAAAUCUCCGGGCUUAACCCGGAAACUGCCAUUGAUACUAUUUGUCUUGAAUACUGUGGAGGUCAGCGGAAUAUGUCAUGUAGCGGUGAAAUGCUUAGAUAUGACACAGAACACCGAUUGCGAAGGCAGCUAGCUAGACAGACAUUGACGCUGAGGCACGAAAGCGUGGGGAUCAAACAGG
rnacentral:rRNA from 1 species